rnacentral:rRNA from 1 species
AUGUUCAACAAGAUCAUCAAGCGCGGGGCGCGCAAGGGCGCGCGCGGCCACGACGCGGCGGCGGCCGAGCCCCGAGGCGCGGCCCCGUCCUCCUCCUCCGGCGGGGCGGCGCCCGUCACCGUCAACCACGCCUCCCGCGCCUCCGCCUCGCCCGUGCCGCCCUCGCCCACCUCGCCGCACGCCGCCGCCGCCGCCGCCUCCCCCGCCCCGGCCGCCGCGCAGCAGCCGCCGCUCCUCGAGCCGCUCCCGCUCCUCCGCGACGUGCCCGCCGGCGAACGCCCCGGGCUGCUCCUCCGCAAGCUGCGCCUCGUCGCCGCGCUCUUCGACUUCUCCGACUCCCUCAAGCAUCCGCGCGAGAAGGAGGCCAAGCGGCAGGCGCUGCUCGAGCUCGUCGACUACGUGCAGGCCCCCGCCCCCGCCGCCAACGCCAACGCGCCCGCACGCCUCCCCGACGCCGUCCAGGAGGCCCUCGUCGCCGCCAUCUCCGCCAACAUAUUCCGGCCCCUGCCCCCCGCGCUGUACGAGUCCGCCGCCAACAUCGACCCCAAUGCCACCCCGGACGACGAGGAGGAGCCCUACCUCGACCCCGCCUGGCCGCACAUCCAGCUCGUCUACGAGCUCCUGCUCCGCUACGUCGUGUCCCCGGACACCGACACCAAGGUCGCCAAGCGCUACGUCGACCAUGCCUUCGUGCUCCGCCUCCUCGACCAUUUCGACUCCGAGGACCCCCGCGAGCGCGAGUACCUCAAGACCGUGCUCCACCGCAUCUAUGGCAAGUUCAUGGUUCACCGCCCGUUCAUCCGCAAGGCCAUCAAUAAUGUGUUCUACCGCUUCAUCUUUGAGACCGAGCGCCACAACGGCAUUGGCGAGCUCCUUGAGAUUCUCGGCAGCAUAAUUAAUGGCUUUGCCCUGCCUAUGAAGGAGGAGCACAAGCUGUUCCUCAGCCGCGCGCUCAUCCCGCUGCACAAGCCCAAGUCCGUCGGAAUCUACCACCAGCAGCUGUCCUAUUGCAUUGUCCAGUUUGUCGAGAAGGACUACAAACUUGCCGAUGCGGUCAUCAGGGGUCUCCUCAAGUACUGGCCACUCAUAAAUUGCCAGAAGGAGGUGCUGUUUUUGGGGGAGCUCGAGGAAGUGCUCGAGGCCACACAGCCUGCUGAGUUCCAGCGGUGCAUGGUGCCGCUGUUUAAACAGAUAGGGCGCUGCCUUAACAGUGCCCAUUUCCAGGUUGCUGAGCGGGCUUUGUUCUUAUGGAACAAUGAUCACAUCGUAAGCUUGAUUGCCCAAAAUCGUGGUGUUAUAUUUCCAAUAAUAUUUGAAGCACUUGAGAGGAACAUACAGAGCCACUGGAAUCAAGCUGUUCAUGGCCUGACCGCAAAUGUGCGCAAGAUGUUUUUGGACAUGGAUAGUGAUCUAUUUGAUGAGUGCCACCAGCAGUACGUUGAGAAAGAAGAAAAAGCCAAAGAAUUGGAGGAGCAACGGGAAUCGGCAUGGAGACAAUUGGAAGCUGUUGCUGCCAAGGCUGCUGGGGAUGACAUGGUUUUGGUCAAAUAG